AGAUAUCUGUGAUGUACGCAGUAUCCCCAUUAGUGUUGACCGAACAAAUCGUUUUACUUUGGGAAUCAACGAGUAUUUAUUAAAAACAGGCCUUUUCAUUUGGUAGUUUGAGGUAUUUACAGCGAUUCCCACCUGCAUUUUUUAGCGGGUUCAACCAUCAGGGAUACAAAACGGCAUCGACGGAUAUUUU
rfam:Vagococcus teuberi strain DSM 21459, complete genome.